UGGGUCUUUUGUCGCUCCAGUACCACGUGGAAUUUCAAUUGAUGCUCAAAAAUUCAUCGUACAGUUUUCACUCUCUCUUCUGCAACUACGAACAUAAAUAUUUCCGGUAAAAAUUGCACAGUGAAUUCCAUACAAUCUCAAUUAGCAACGUCAACAUUAUAUCCAGUUGCUCUGGAUGCAGCUAUCACGAACAUUGCGUGGAAGCGACAUGUACAACAAUUUUUUAUAUUUUUUUUUAAACUUACAAUUGUCGGGGAAAUUUCAUUGAGAGCCACCAGUGUAUACAAAAACGACAAUCAUUGUGGGAGGCUUUCAACUGGUAAAUCACACCUUCACGAAAUCAAGGCAUUUAAAUUCAUGAAUUAUAAAAGAUAAGAAAGGUCAAAAACAUUCACAGUUACUUUGAUAAAAAAAAUUUUUGAAUGCAGUGGCUCAGAUAAAAAUUUUAGUACAGAAAAAUUUCAUGAAACCAAAAUUUACAUCCUUUUCUUUCUCAAAACCUUGAAAUAAGUCAUUCCUUCAAACUCAAAAAUGGAUUGAACUAAAUUCAAUUUGGUAUGAUGUUCAUAUGAAGAAGAAGAGUGCAAAAGAAUGAGAUAGAUAUAUACAAAACGCUUGAGAAAGAAAGGGAGAUUAAUUUUGAUUUCAUGAAAUUUUUCUGAACAAAAAGUUGUGCCUGAACCAUCUGUAUUACUCUCCAAAUUUAGAACAAUUUAAUUUUUUGAUUAAAAACGUUACGAAUCACUUCAAAGAUUACAUUGGCAUCCCUAUGACAUCAUAAUGCAUUCUUAUCUUCACAUAAAAGACACUAUUUCUGAAAAAAUAAUUAUUUGCGUACAAUUUGCAAAGAAAGAAGCCUAAAUGAAAAUAAUAAGUAUUAGGGUGGCGGCAUUAUUGUGGCCUCUUUUUUACAAAAAAAAAUUUCACAAAAUAAUUUCGAAAAACCUCAAAAUUAAAAAUAUUUGAUAUUUUAUAAUAACAUCACAUUUUUUUUGGUUUCCGGAAUUAUUUUUUAACAAAAAUUGCGAUGAGG